rnacentral:rRNA from 1 species
UAGGGAAUAUUGCGCAAUGGGGGAAACCCUGACGCAGCGACGCCGCGUGAGUGAUGAAGGACUUCGGUUCGUAAAGCUCUGUUGCAAGGGAAAAAGUUCUGAUUGUACCUUGUGAGGAAGGGUCGGCUAACUUCGUGCCAGCAGCCGCGGUAAGACGAGGGACCCUAGCGUUGUUCGGAAUCAUUGGGCGUAAAGCGGGUGCAGGUGGCUUUGUAAGUCAGGUGUGAAAGCCCAGGGCUCAACCCUGGAAGUGCAUUUGAUACUGCGAAGCUUGAGUGCUGGAGAGGUUACUAGAAUUCCAGGUGUAGUGGUGAAAUACGUAGAUAUCUGGAGGAAUACCGGAGGCGAAGGCGGGUAACUGGCCAGACACUGACACUCAGACCCGAAAGCGUGGGGAUCAAACAGGAUUAGAUACCCGAGUAGUCCCUGAGCGGGCUGGCAAGGCGCAU